GCAUGUAGAACCUCGCAGAGGUUUGCUGUAGUGACCCUUGCUUCAUCGGUAUAGAAUAUGGCAUCUGGAAAACUCCUGGCAGUAAGUGAAUUGUUGUAAACAAAAACUGCUCCCUUUCCCUUCUGGGGUACACAAGAGCCCUUAUAAAGUCCUUUGUAGGUUCUCCAUCGGUAGGAGAAAAUAACAGAGGCCAACCAGAGAAUAUUGAGAAGCAAAGAAGCUAGUAAUCUUGAUCUUUAUUAAAGCUGUUGCAACAGGCUGCUCUUCCAGACACAGGAGAGACAAGGAGGACCCAGGACAAAGGUGUGCAAGCCCUUAUAUAGACUUUUGAGCUGCCCACCCUGGAGCCCAAGACCACCCCCCAAUACAUCAUACAUACAUCACAGAAGGGGGGUAGCCCAAGACCACCCCCUAGGUACAUCAGAGACGGAGCGGACUACAACAGAAAUCUGAGUGCGUUUUUUUUAUCCUGUCUGCCAGGUUACCUGAUUGGAUUACCUGGGCAUCCUGGCCACUCUUUUGUUAUGAUAACUACUCAACUCCUGAAUCCAGGUAACAGGCUCACCCUAUUCAUACCUUAACUGUGCCCUUGAGACAGGAUUUGUGAGCAAAGAUACAAUGAGGAGGCUCCUCAUUUCCUUCGACCUUGCAGAUAAAUAUUUGAGGUCAAUUUGGAAGAGACAAAUGGUUUCAGGACUUUUUCUGUGGGGUUUCAGACAUGUGGUCUAAACAUUUAUGUAUGUGAGACAAAUUGAAAUUGCAGAGUUUUGAAAAAUUAAAAGAUAAAGUGCGAGACUGGCUUCAUUAUUAUCAGAUAAUGGAGGCAUAUAAUUUGGACAAGAAAAUUGGCUUCCAGGUGGAAAAAUCAAAAUUGGAAACAGGAUUGUUAGAAUCCAAUACUAAGAUUUUGUCAAAAAUGUAUAACUUGUUGUUGAAAUGGAAUACUCAGGAUGAAACCGUGAAAUCUGCUAUGAUUAAAUGGGCACAAGAUCUAGGAUAUAACAUUAUGUUUGCUGACUGGGAACAGUUGUGGACCACAGGCAUGAAAUUUACGGCAUGUAAUGCCCUAAGAGAGAAUAUUAUGAAAAUGAUAUACAGGUGGUACAUGACACCAGUCAAGCUUGCAAAAAUUUACCAUGCGCCCGAUAAUAAAUGUUGGAAAUGUAAAGAAAAUGAAGGUACUUUCUUUCACCUUUGGUGGACGUGCCCAAAGGUUAAGGCUUUCUGGGAGAUGAUAUAUAAUGAAUUGAAAAAGGUAUUUAAAUAUACCUUCUUGAAGAAACCAGAGGCCUUUCUCCUGGGCAUAGUCGGCCAAUUGGUGCCAAAGAGGGACAGAACUUUCUUUAUGUAUGCCACAACAGCAGCAAGAAUACUCAUAGCAAAGUACUGGAAGACACAAGAUCUACCCACCUUGGAAGAAUGGCAGAUGAAGGUGAUGGACUAUAUGGAAUUGGUGGAAAUGACUGGCAGAAUCCGAGACCAGGGAGAAGAGUCGAUGGAGGAAGAUUGGAAAAAGUUUAAAGACUAUCUGCAGAAAUACUGUAAAAUUAAGGAAUGCUAGAAUGAUGUUGGAUAGAAACUAAGUGAACUUUAGCUGAAAGGUUAUAAGGAAUAUGAAAAAAUGGUUUAUUAAUAUAUAAAAAUCUAAAAUUAUAAUACUUGAUGAUUAAUGAUUAGGAUACAUAAAGAGGGGAGGGAUUUGCUGAACGAAAUAACUGAACUGGAAUACAAAAAAGGGAGGUGUGAGGAGGUCCUGGAACUAAGCAAAUGAAGGUCAAGAAAUGGAAGGAAUGAAUUGUUUUUAAAUAUUUUUACUUUGUAUUUUCUUUGUGUGUGUGUGUGUGUGUGUUUUGUAAUAUCUUGAAAACUUUAAUAAAUAUCUUAUAAAAAACAAACAAUUUAUGUAUGAGCUUGCUUGGAACAUUUACUUUAUAUAUAUAAGACCUUAAAAUUCUUAUAACAGAAUACCUGAAGGAGCGUCUCCACCCCCAUUGUUCUGCCCGGAUGCUGAGGUCCAGCGCCGAGGGCCUUCUGGCGGUUCCCUCAUUGCAAGAAGCAAAGCUACAGGGAACCAGGCAGAGGGCCUUCUUGGUAGUGGUGCCCGCCCUGUGGAAUGCCCUCCCAUCAGAUGUCAAAGAGAUAAACAACUACCUGACAUUCAGAAGACAUCUGAAGGCAGCCCAGUUCAGG